GCGGGGGUUCCCGAGUGGCCAAAGGGGUGGGGCUCAAGAUCCUAUAGCUAAGGCUUUCGAGGGUUCGAAUCCCUCCCCCCGCACCA
rnacentral:tRNA from 1 species